GACGAACGCUGGCGGCGUGCCUAAUACAUGCAAGUCGAACGAGAGCGCCCGGUGCUUGCACUGGUCAAUCUAGUGGCGAACGGGUGAGUAACACGUGGGUAACCUGCCCAUCAGAGGGGGAUAACAUCCGGAAACGGAUGCUAAAACCGCAUAGGUCUUCGAGCCGCAUGGCUUGAAGAGGAAAAGAGGCGCAAGCUUCUGCUGAUGGAUGGACCCGCGGUGCAUUAGCUAGUUGGUGAGGUAACGGCUCACCAAGGCCGUGAUGCAUAGCCGACCUGAGAGGGUGAUCGGCCACAUUGGGACUGAGACACGGCCCAAACUCCUACGGGAGGCAGCAGUAGGGAAUCUUCCGCAAUGGACGCAAGUCUGACGGAGCAACGCCGCGUGAGUGAAGAAGGUGUUCGGAUCGUAAAACUCUGUUGUUAGAGAAGAACAAGUGCUAGAGUAACUGUUAGCGCCUUGACGGUAGCUAACCAGAAAGCCACGGCUAACUACGUG
rnacentral:rRNA from 1 species